rnacentral:rRNA from 1 species
UACGGUGGGGGCAAGCGUUGUUCGGAAUUACUGGGCGUAAAGGGCGCGUAGGCGGCCUGCUAAGUCGGAUGUGAAAACUCUGGGCUCAACCCAGAGACUGCAUCCGAAACUGGAGGACUAGGGUUCUGGAGGGGAAAGCGGAAUUCCUGGUGUAGCGGUGAAAUGCGUAGAUAUCAGGAGGAACACCGGUGGCGAAGGCGGCUUUCUGGACAGAUACCGACGCUGAGGCACGAAAGCUAGGGGAGCAAACAGG